rnacentral:rRNA from 1 species
GACGAACGCUGGCGGCGUGCCUAAUACAUGCAAGUCGAGCGGACGAAUCGAAAGCUUGCUUUUGAUUCGUUAGCGGCGGACGGGCGAGUAACACGUGGGCAACCUGCCCUGUAGACGGGGAUAACACCGAGAAAUCGGUGCUGAUACCGGAUAACACGAAAUGUCGCAUGACGUUUCGUUGAAAGACGGCGCAAGCUGCCGCUACAGGAUGGGCCCGCGGCGCAUUAGCUAGUUGGUGAGGUAACGGCUCACCAAGGCGACGAUACGUAGCCGACCUGAGAGGGUGAUCGGCCACACUGGGACUGAGACACGGCCCAGACUCCUACGGGAGGCAGCAGUAGGGAAUCUUCCGCAAUGGACGAAAGUCUGACGGAGCAACGCCGCGUGAGCGAAGAAGGCCUUCGGGUCGUAAAGCUCUGUUGUUAGGGAAGAACAAGUAACGCAGUAACUGGCGUUACCGUGACGGUACCUAACGAGAAAGCCACGGCUAACUACGUG